rfam:Danio rerio chromosome 1 genomic contig CTG104, GRCz11 reference primary assembly.
AGCCACAGCCAUAUCACCCUGCAGCCCAAGACCGGUUACUCACUGAAGCUAAGCAGGGCUGAGCCUGGUCAGUACCUGGAUGGGAGACCACUAGGGAACACUAGGUUGCUGUUGGAA